rnacentral:rRNA from 1 species
GCUCAGAAUGAACGCUGGCGGCAUGCCUAACACAUGCAAGUCGAACGAGACCUUCGGGUCUAGUGGCGCACGGGUGCGUAACGCGUGGGAAUCUGCCCCUUGGUUCGGAAUAACAGCGAGAAAUUGCUGCUAAUACCGGAUAAUGACGUGAGUCCAAAGAUUUAUCGCCUAGGGAUGAGCCCGCGUAGGAUUAGCUAGUUGGUGUGGUAAAGGCGCACCAAGGCGACGAUCCUUAGCUGGUCUGAGAGGAUGAUCAGCCACACUGGGACUGAGACACGGCCCAGACUCCUACGGGAGGCAGCAGUGGGGAAUAUUGGACAAUGGGCGAAAGCCUGAUCCAGCAAUGCCGCGUGAGUGAUGAAGGCCUUAGGGUUGUAAAGCUCUUUUACCCGGGAUGAUAAUGAC